ensembl:lncRNA
GGAUGAUAAACUGUGACCUACUGGUUGGGUUCUCUCUGUUCUCAUGUUUCUUACAUGUUUGUCCCCUGACAGCCGGGUCCUAAUGUUUUUUGAGCAACACACCAUACUAUGACGUUUUUACAAUGAGGGUUCUACUAUGGAACCAGUUUGACAUGUUCAGGUGUUCUUUGUGUGAAAACUCAGAGAUUUCAGGGAUCAGAAGGUGGUUUUCAACUUUCUUUGUUAACUUUCUGCUUCAACUUUAAACUAAAUUUCCUUCACUAACCCCGCCCUCUGGACUUCCAGUAAGCUGUGUUCCUAUUGGCUGUCCAGGUGGCUGCUUGGUGUUAUCAGGAACACCUGAGCAGCUCAGUGUCUUCCUGCUUUAUUUAGCUGCAGACAAACAUUUCCUCUGCUUCUCUUCACCAGUGAACCGGGUUUGGCUCCUUUGCUUUAGCUUGUUCUUUAGGCGUUGGCUUGCAGCUUCCAGCAGUAAAAUCAUCUUUAAUGUGUUUCUUGGUGUGUUUUAGGGCUUUGUACUGGAUAGUUGUCUUGGUAAAUGUGGUUCUUUAGCCACAGUUAGCACAUGGUGCUAAUGUGUGCAGUGAUUAGUGGAUUUGGUGCAGGUGAGUUGUGUCUUUAUCUUGGCUGUAGUGAGUCUUUAGAGGUUUUGGUCAGACACAUUCUGUAUUCUUGUUUGAGAACCAACGUUGGUUGUCCAGAAGGUAAGAGUUCCUGUCCUGAUUCUCUGUUCUCAGAGGUUCUCUGGUAGGCUGCAGGAGACAUUAGCGUUUGGGUUGUGCUAGUUUGGUUUUUGUAAGGUUUCAUUUGGACGACUAUCUUGAGGCCCCUCCAUGUGGUUUAGUGAGGUUUUCUAGAACAGUUCUACAAAGCAACCUGCAGCAGAAGAGACUUUGAGAGUUUUUAGGAAGUUCUGGAGACCAGACUUUAGAGCAGCAGAAACAUUUGUCAGCAGUUUGAGCAGGAGAAGGUGAGCUUCAGAGUAGAAAUGAGAUGGAAACCUUCUUGACCCGUGUGGUGAGGUCCUGUACCAAGAGUUUGAGCAGGUUGUGAAGAGUCUGUAGUUCUUUGGUCUGAAAGCACAAGAAGAGUCGACUCAUUAAAGGAGAAAACAGGAGAUAUUGUUGGUUCUUCUGUCACUCUGCAGUUUCCUUAGACUGAAUAUCAAGUUUAUAUAUUAAAUGAUUUUCCAUGUGAGCCCAAGAAGACUUCAAUAAACUCCCUCCAUCCCCUGAACACAACAUAUUUUAUUACCAUGUUAAAUCUUUUUUUCUUUUAAAUAUGUUUUUGAGUUUUAAUCAUAGUUUUUUGUCUUUGCUUG